rnacentral:sRNA from 1 species
GUUAUAGUAAAGGGUUUUUUUUUUUUAUUCACGGUUUUGGAGUUGUUGGGUUUUGGAACGAUUCUUACAUUCACAACUUUGCUUUUGUAUUGAGUUUUGCAGAGAGAUGUGUGCAUUGUGAUUGCUUUUUGGGUGGGUGUCUAUGAUGAGGAUAUUGGUGUAGGCGAUAAAAUAGUUGUCGAUUUCAUUGAACAACAGAGAAGAAAAUAGAAAGAUAACCAAGUCAAAAAGAAAAUUUUGAGUGUCUAAAGAUUAAUCAUACUAUUUUCUUCAACUAUUUGGAUGAUUGCGUGGUUGCAUUAAUGGGUUGUGAGUGCUCAUAUUGUAGGAAAUGAGUUGAAUGGUUGUAAGUGUUGUGUUCUUAGCCAGACUGAGCGUGGUCUUCUGGAUACGUGACGUGAUAUAGGAAUAGUUUUAAAUUUCUAACAUGCGUUAUGAGGGUUGAAAUGUGAGAGAAGAUCCACCUCAUUAUAUAUAACAAUCAUAAUAUUAUAUUGUCAAGCAUGAUUGAUUUCUCUCUUUGAUUGAAGUUGAUUGCUUGAGUCACUAAACCAUUAUAGUUGAGCUAUUUUAUCUAGGCUAAAGUUUACCUUUUUGCUUUUCAUGAGGAUAUGGAAAAGUUCAAGUUUGGGGAUAUGGAAAAGUUCAAGUUUGGGAAGGAAAUUAUAAGAUUGGAAAAGAAUAGAGAGAUGACGCCAGAAGUUGCUAGCACAACCAUAAGCAUCCCUAACCUAGCCAGCAAAGCAACUCCAGCCUAGCCAGAAAGUCUUGCAACCCAGCCAUCAAAGCAUCUCUAGCUCAACGAGAGGAUUUUUUGGCCCAACAAGCAUAGCACAUCUAGCUCAGCAAGAGUAUUUUGUGGCCCAACGAGAGUGCACUUUUUGGAGAAGGUUUUAAAGUGGCAAGAGUGAAAGAAAAAGUUAGUUUUUUUGAUGUGGAAACACAAUUAAAGCUCAAGUAAGCAGUGUGGAGGCACAAUUUCACUUUAGGAGCUCAUGGAGGUGUAAAUUCUGUAGAAUUGAUGUUCUAGAGAAUUUUGUAGACUAGUUGGACAAGUAGAUACCUUGCUAGCGAGUAAUAUUGAGUUUUGGCAUUGAGUUUCAGAGGCUGGGCGAGACUUCUCGCUAGGAUGGGGAAGCUCUCUAUUUGACUCUCGUUGGGCGAGAGAGCUGCUCGUUGGGUGAGCAAGCCAGCGUUAAGCGCUAGGAUUAUGGCGUUGGGCGCCAUCUAUGCAGUUUUGCUUUGUGUAUUCUUUCCUUUUGUGCCUUGCUAGGUUUGAGUUGUAUCAAUACUUUGAUGCUUAUUUGAUAGUAUCUAUUGAAUUGUAUGAUGUAUGAUGAGGAUGAGUAUAUAGUGAUCAUGUGCAUCGUAGAUGGAUGUAAUUUCAUGACUCUCGUGGAAAGAUUCCAUGGUGGUGCCCUGUAAUGUAGUUGUUGAUGUAGGAAGCUCAAUCUUGGGCUUAUCCUGACGCUUCAAUAAUCUUUCCAUCUUGGUUAGAGAAUGGGAUUAUGUGGUAAGGAGUAGUAGGAGGUCCUAGUAUAUGGUCUGAUAUUCUUUGUCCAUAGGUAGUUGACAAAUUAAUCUUGUAUAGUAACUCGAAGGGAGCCAGCUGUUCCACCACUACAAGUGUACAAUCCGUCAUAGCUUG